rnacentral:rRNA from 1 species
UCUCCUGGAAAACGGGUGGUAAUGCCGGAUGCUCCAGUUGAUCGCAUGGUCUUCUGGGAAAGCUUUCGCGGUAUGGGAUGGGGUCGCGUCCUAUCAGCUUGACGGCGGGGUAACGGCCCACCGUGGCUUCGACGGGUAGCCGGCCUGAGAGGGCGACCGGCCACAUUGGGACUGAGAUACGGCCCAGACUCCUACGGGAGGCAGCAGUGGGGAAUAUUGCACAAUGGGCGCAAGCCUGAUGCAGCGACGCCGCGUGAGGGAUGGAGGCCUUCGGGUUGUAAACCUCUUUUAUCGGGGAGCAAGCGAGAGUGAGUUUACCCGUUGAAUAAGCACCGGCUAACUACGUGCCAGCAGCCGCGGUAAUACGUAGGGUGCAAGCGUUAUCCGGAAUUAUUGGGCGUAAAGGGCUCGUAGGCGGUUCGUCGCGUCCGGUGUGAAAGUCCAUCGCUUAACGGUGGAUCCGCGCCGGGUACGGGCGGGCUUGAGUGCGGUAGGGGAGACUGGAAUUCCCGGUGUAACGGUGGAAUGUGUAGAUAUCGGAAAAGAACACC